GAUCUAGGCCUAUCUCAACUCGGCUUCGCAUCUGUCGUAAACGAAUGUAGCUUUAGAAAACCAAAUUUGAAUGUUUAUUUGAUCAAAAUAUGAAAUGAAUGGACUUUAAUUAAUAUGUAUAUGUGUUAAAGUAUAAAACUAUCCGUGCGAAGAGAAGUUUUAUCAUCUUAGAGUUGAAUUAGAGUUUUAGAUCUAGGGAUGGGAUUAUAAAGUAAACAAUUAAACGAAUUAAUAUUUAGUACGCGAUUCAUUACGGAAUUGUCUAAUGAAAGAAUGUUCGUCAGGAAAUCUGUAAUCACAGAUAUAAGUUUGUUUUAGGGCUACAAUACAUACACUACGGUCUAAGUUGGUACCCAAGGAACAUUCCUGCCUAGUUUUAUCAAGAUUGGUCAAGCGGUUUUGAUGUCUAUAAAGUUGAAGAUAUCUACUUGGUAGUCUAAACCUCAAAGGAGCUUAGGGAAGUGAUGGCAGUUGCAGGGUAUGAACCAGACGACCAUGCAGAGACCAACGAGGUGACCAAACAGUCCAUCGUGCAUACCACAUAACCAGGUCCAGAAUGCCAGUUUUCUUUAAGGGCAGCUGACAAUAAGAAUUGUCUAUGUAUGCACUACAGAUGCUGUUCAAUAUCUUUUCAUGAGGAAGCCUGCUCAAAAAGAUCGCCACAUUUUCUUUAGGGGAAUUUUAAGUUGACAUUAAUCUUUUAGGUUAAUAAUAACCUAUGCAUGCAGCACAGAUGCUGUUCAUCAUCUUUUCAUAAGCAAGCCUGCUCAAGAAGCUGCUGCAUGGAAGUCAAAAUAUGAAUUAUUGCCACCAGUCUUGAAGUCAGCUUGUAAAGAAUGCUAAGAAUUGAAUGAAAAUGCUGUCUUGAUAUCUUGUUUGUGCUGUUAUAUUUGUCUUUUGUGUUGGUUAAUUAUUCCAUGAAUAAAAAAAAAAAAAGUUAAUUGUGUAAGUUUGAUUUAAGAAUAAAUGAUCAGAGCAUGCAAGUCUUAUAUAGUACGUUACCAAAAAUUGUAUUGUUUGAUAGUGUUCAAACCCAAAAAUGUAAUUUAACUUGUCCAUUACUUUAUAAAUAUGUUGACAUUAUAGCUAGAUGUAUAUAGAAAUCAUGCACUGAUUCAAUUAUUAUAAUUUCCAAACAAUUAUGUCAAAUAAUUCUAUUGCUAGAUCUAAAUCAUCAGUGUGAAAGUAGACCUAUGUAAAAGGUUAAAAAUCUCAUACUAAACCAUUGAGCUGCAUUUGAACAAAAAGGGCAUUAUAAACAAAAAAUCACUAAUGAAUUUGUUUUAAACUACAGUAUUGAAAAACAUUAAAGAUUAUUCCUAAUUAAGCCAUAAUAAAAUUUAAUGACUGAACCAUCGGAGACAGUAUUUGCAUGAUAAUACCUAGUUGAGCCCUAAUAAAUAUUUCAGUUACUAAACCAUUAGGGCCAGCAUCGGACCGAUAAUGGCACAAUAAGGGUUAUCCCUAAUUGAACCCUAAUUAAUAUUUCAAUUACUAAACCAUUAGGGCCAGCAUUGGACCGAUAAUGGCACAAUAAGGGAUAUCCCUAAUUGAACCCUAAUAAAUAUUUCAGUUACUAAACCAUUAGGGCCAGCAUCGGACCGAUAUUGGCACAAUAAGGGUUAUCCCU